AGACUCCUACGGGAGGCAGCAGUUAGGAAUUUUCCACAAUGGGCGAAAGCCUGAUGGAGCAACGCCGCGUGCAGGAUGAAGGCCCUAGGGUUGUAAACUGCUUUUAUACGUGACGAAUAUGACGGUAGCGUAUGAAUAAGGAUCGGCUAACUCCGUGCCAGCAGCCGCGGUCAUACGGAGGAUCCAAGCGUUAUCCGGAUUUACUGGGGAAGAGUUGCGUAGGUGGUCUGUUAAGCAAAUAGUGAAAUCUUGUGGCUCAACCAUAAGGCUAUUAUUUGAACUGGCAGACUCGAGAAUGAGAGAGGUCACUGGAAUUCCCUGUGUAGGAGUGAAAUCCGUAGAUAUAGGGAGGAACACCAAUGGCGUAGGCAGGUGACUGGCUCAUUUCUGACACUGAGGCACGAAAGCGUGGGGAGCGAACGGGAUUAGAUACCCCGGUAGUCCACGCCGUAAACGAUGGAUGCUAGCUGUUAGGAGUAUCGACCCUUCUAGUAGCGAAGCUAACGCGUUAAGCAUCCCGCCUGGGGAGUACGGUCGCAAGAUUAAAACUCAAAGGAAUUGACGG
rnacentral:rRNA from 1 species